CAUAGAAGAAGAGUAAAUAAGGUCUUGGUUCCUACGAAACUAAAACCACACAAAAAGGGAAUUAUCGAAAAUCAUUAGACGGAGAAACUGAAAUGGAAAAAAGACUAUAGAUGCUACUUGUAUAACACUUGGUAUCAUCAUCAACUAAGUAGAAUUUGGGGUAAUAAGGACCAAUCUAUGUUGCGUCAGUGAUCAAUGAAAAGGAACUGAAAAACUCCUAUUUCAGUUGUGCAGUCGGCAUGUCAUAAGAUACUAUUCGUGACGACAUAGCUAGUAGCUGACGAGUUCGCUAGAGUUCAUCUAAUUAUUGAGAGUUGAAGUGGAAAAAAAUUAUAAUGAGCAAGAAGUUGGGGCAAGUAUUAUAGAAAAUUAGAUGUGGCUAUUAGACUCUAUGUGUUGACGCCACAGAUUGUAAUAAUGUUCAUACAUAUAUGUUCACACCUUUGUGCUAUGUCGUUAUUUAAGUCCUAGUCUUAUAACUGUUGCAUUGUAUAUGAUCACCUGGAGUCGCCUGAAACUCCAUAGCAUGUAACUGUGACCAUUGGAUGUUGUUGU